rnacentral:rRNA from 1 species
UACAGAGGGGGCAAGCGUUAUUCGGAAUCAUUGGGCGUAAAGGGCGCGUAGGCGGCUGCGCAAGUCUCGGGUGAAAUCCCUCGGCUCAACCGAGGAACUGCCCUGGAAACUGCGCGGCUCGAGGCCGGGAGAGGAUGGUGGAAUUCCCAGUGUAGCGGUGAAAUGCGUAGAUAUUGGGAGGAACACCGGUGGCGAAGGCGGCCAUCUGGACCGGUCCUGACGCUGAGGCGCGAAAGCGUGGGGAGCAAACAGG